GACAUACAAAGUCUACGGAGGUUAAACGCUGUCAAUCAGUAAUAAACAUCUCGCAUUUUACUUUUCUCUGAAUUAUUAAUUGAUCCUUGAAAGUAAACACGAGACAUGGAUGGGGCUGCAUCUACAGAAAGCCCACAAACAAAAGAACUCCAAGUUUUGGAUUAUGAGCUUCAGCAUUUGCAAGAUAACAGAAAGCUGUACCUAAAUCAGCCAAACAGUAAUCUGUAUUUCCUCUGCAGUAAGGCUGAAGCUCUCAGCCAUUUGGAAAAACAAAAGGAGAAGCUUUCAGAAAUGAAAAAGAAAACUUAGAAAAAAAAAUUGUUUCUUAGAAUAGGAUACACUCAUUUGUAAAUCUUGUGAAUGUCCAUGUUAUUCAAGAAACAUUUUUAUUCUUAAAGUGUAUUUUUAUUUUUAUUUUGUCUGUGUUAAGGUGAGAACAAUUUUGAAGUUUGUGUACAAGUAAAUUUGUGUGUUGGAAUCAUGGUUUAGAACUCAUUUUGAAAUUGUGUAAUUAUUUCACAUGUAUUGGUGCCGACUGUUUUACAAAACUAGAUGUAUGCUGAGAAUAAACGUAAUGAGUUA